AUUGAACGCUGGCGGCAGGCCUAACACAUGCAAGUCGAACGGCAACACAGUAAGACUUUCCUCUUACCUGAGGCGAGUGGCGCACGUGUGAGGAAUACAUCGAAAUCUACUUUUUCGUGGGGUAUAACGUAGGGAAGCUUACUCUAAUACCGCAUCCGCCCUACGGGUGAAAGCAGGGGAUCUUCGGCCCUUGCUCUCUUGAAUGCCCCGAUGUCGGAUUAGCUAGUUGGCGGGGUAAAGGCCCACCAAGGCGACGAUCCGUAGCUGGUCUGAGAGGAUGAUCAGCCACACUGGAACUGAGACACGGUCCAGACUCCUACGGGAGGCAGCAGUGGGGAAUAUUGGACAAUGGGCGCAAGCCUGAUCCAGCCAUACCGCGUGUGUGAAGAAGGCCUUCGGGUUGUAAAGCCCUUUUGUUGGGAAAGAAAGGCAGCAGGUUAAUACCGCGCUGUUCUGACGGUACCCAAAGAAUAAGCACCGGCUAACUUCGUG
rnacentral:rRNA from 1 species